rnacentral:tRNA from 1 species
GGGAUUCUAUGAGCGGGAAUCAACAGAGGCAAAACACUUUAUUAGCCGGACUCUUAAUCCGUAGGUCGAGUGUUCGAGUCACUCAGGGCCCACCA